CUCCCUCUUUUAGGUAUGAUUCCAUUAAUAAACUCCGUAAAAGGUGUGAGACCAUUGAUUGAGAGAUACAGGACUCACAACAGUUCAAGGACUUCUACCAGUUUACGUUUAAUGUUGCCAAAAACUCGGGCAGAAAGGACUAGGCUAGUGACAUAAUAUUAUACAUGUACAUGUACAUGUAGGAUCAUGUAAAUUACUGGUCGCUUCAAAUUUUUAGACUUGUGGUGUGAAUUUUUAAGAUCUCAUUAUAAAAGAGCUGGCAAUACCCAAAGACACUUGGAACCUUCUGCUAGAGUGUUCUAACAGGAUUGAUGCACCAUGAGCAAUUAUGAUGAAGAUGGUAGGUCUAUACUGUAUUAAUUGUAAUGUCCUCCUCUUUUAAUAAUUUGUAUUUUGUACAGCACUUUAAUGUAUGGCAGCUUUAUUUCUUUGUAAA